rnacentral:rRNA from 1 species
CCUACGGGAGGCAGCAGUGAGGAAUAUUGGACAAUGGGCGCAAGCCUGAUCCAGCCAUGCCGCGUGCAGGAUGACGGUCCUAUGGAUUGUAAACUGCUUUUGUACAGGAAGAAACCCUUUCACGUGUGGAAGAUUGACGGUACUGUAAGAAUAAGGAUCGGCUAACUCCGUGCCAGCAGCCGCGGUAAUACGGAGGAUCCGAGCGUUAUCCGGAAUCAUUGGGUUUAAAGGGUCCGUAGGCGGUCAAGUAAGUCAGUGGUGAAAGCCCAUCGCUCAACGGUGGAACGGCCAUUGAUACUGCUUGACUUGAAUUAUUAGGAAGUAACUAGAAUAUGUAGUGUAGCGGUGAAAUGCUUAGAGAUUACAUGGAAUACCAAUUGCGAAGGCAGGUUACUACUAAUGGAUUGACGCUGAUGGACGAAAGCGUGGGUAGCGAACAGGAUUAGAUACCCUGGUAGUCCACGCCGUAAACGAUGGAUACUAGCUGUUGGGAGCCAAUCUCNGUGNGUAGACGAAGUAGAGUAAGUAUACCACCGUCGGGUAGGUACGGUUACGUCGAGAAGUAGAAACGUACGAAAGUAAGUAAGUAGACGUGAGAGACGACGACGACGGACGACGACGGAGGGAGGAGG